rnacentral:rRNA from 1 species
GACGGGUGAGUAAUGUCUGGGAAACUGCCUGAUGGAGGGGGAUAACUACUGGAAACGGUGGCUAAUACCGCAUAACGUCGCAAGACCAAAGAGGGGGACCUUCGGGCCUCUUGCCAUCAGAUGUGCCCAGAUGGGAUUAGCUAGUUGGUGAGGUAACGGCUCACCAAGGCGACGAUCCCUAGCUGGUCUGAGAGGAUGACCAGCCACACUGGAACUGAGACACGGUCCAGACUCCUACGGGAGGCAGCAGUGGGGAAUAUUGCACAAUGGGCGCAAGCCUGAUGCAGCCAUGCCGCGUGUAUGAAGAAGGCCUUCGGGUUGUAAAGUACUUUCAGCGGGGAGGAAGGUGUUGUGGUUAAUAACCGCAGCAAUUGACGUUACCCGCAGAAGAAGCACCGGCUAACUCCGUGCCAGCAGCCGCGGUAAUACGGAGGGUGCAAGCGUUAAUCGGAAUUACUGGGCGUAAAGCGCACGCAGGCGGUCUGUCAAGUCGGAUGUGAAAUCCCCGGGCUCAACCUGGGAACUGCAUUCGAAACUGGCAGGCUUGAGUCUUGUAGAGGGGGGUAGAAUUCCAGGUGUAGCGGUGAAAUGCGUAGAGAUCUGGAGGAAUACCGGUGGCGAAGGCGGCCCCCUGGACAAAGACUGACGCUCAGGUGCGAAAGCGUGGGGAGCAAACAGGAUUAGAUACCCUGGUAGUCCACGCCGUAAACGAUGUCUACUUGGAGGUUGUGCCCUUGAGGCGUGGCUUCCGGAGCUAACGCGUUAAGUAGACCGCCUGGGGAGUACGGCCGCAAGGUUAAAACUCAAAUGAAUUGACGGGGGCCCGCACAAGCGGUGGAGCAUGUGGUUUAAUUCGAUGCAACGCGAAGAACCUUACCUGGUCUUGACAUCCACAGAAGAAUCCAGAGAUGGAUUUGUGCCUUCGGGAACUGUGAGACAGGUGCUGCAUGGCUGUCGUCAGCUCGUGUUGUGAAAUGUUGGGUUAAGUCCCGCAACGAGCGCAACCCUUAUCCUUUGUUGCCAGCGGUCCGGCCGGGAACUCAAAGGAGACUGCCAGUGAUAAACUGGAGGAAGGUGGGGAUGACGUCAAGUCAUCAUGGCCCUUACGACCAGGGCUACACACGUGCUACAAUGGCGCAUACAAAGAGAAGCGACCUCGCGAGAGCAAGCGGACCUCAUAAAGUGCGUCGUAGUCCGGAUUGGAGUCUGCAACUCGACUCCAUGAAGUCGGAAUCGCUAGUAAUCGUGGAUCAGAAUGCCACGGUGAAUACGUUCCCGGGCCUUGUACACACCGCCCGUCACACCAUGGGAGUGGGUUGCAAAAGAAGUAGGUAGCUUAACCUUCGGGAGGGCGCUUACCACUUUGUGAUUCAUGACUGGGGUGAAGUCGUAACAAGGUAACCGUAGGGGAACCUGCGGUUGGAUCACCUCCUUA